UCCCUAGUGGCUCAGAUGGUAAAGAAUCCACCUGCAAUGUGGGAGACCUGGGUUCAAUCCCUGGGUUGGGAA
rfam:Ovis aries breed Texel chromosome 2, whole genome shotgun sequence.